CCAGAUGCUGAAUUGACAACCUUCGGUUGUAGACUAUCCAGUUGGGAUGUUUUCGAGAUCCGUUUGAUGGAAUCUUCCAAUAGUUUUUUUUGGGUACCCUUUGUCCCUGAACCUCUUCUUGAGGAACCCUAUUUGAGUCUUCACCGUACGGUCGUCAGUACAGUUCCUCCUAAUCCUUUUUAGUUGACUGAAUGGGAUAUUUCUAAUCCACUUGGAGUGAUGACAACUCGUGUACUCAAGAUAACUCUUUCUAGUGAGCAGAGAAACAA